rnacentral:rRNA from 1 species
GAUGAACGCUGGCGGCGUGCUUAACACAUGCAAGUCGAACGGUGAAGCCAAGCUUGCUUGGUGGAUCAGUGGCGAACGGGUGAGUAACACGUGAGCAACCUGCCCUGGACUCUGGGAUAAGCGCUGGAAACGGCGUCUAAUACUGGAUAUGAGCUUCUACCGCAUGGUGGGGGUUGGAAAGAUUUUUUGGUCUGGGAUGGGCUCGCGGCCUAUCAGCUUGUUGGUGAGGUAAUGGCCCACCAAGGCGUCGACGGGUAGCCGGCCUGAGAGGGUGACCGGCCACACUGGGACGGAGACACGGCCCAGACUCCUACGGGAGGCAGCAGUGUGGAAUAUUGCACAAUGGGCGAAAGCCUGAUGCAGCAACGCCGCGUGAGGGAUGACGGCCUUCUGGUUGUAAACCUCUUUUAGCAGGGAAGAAGCGAAAGUGACGGUACCUGCAGAAAAAGCGCCGGCUAACUACGUGCCAGCAGCCGCUGUAA